rnacentral:rRNA from 1 species
GGUGUAAAGUACUUUCAGCGGGAGGAAGGGAGUAAGUUAAUACCUUUGCUCAUUGACGUACCGCAGAAGAAGCACCGGCUAACUCCGUGCCAGCAGCCGCCGUUAAUACGGAGGGUGCAAGCGUUAAUCGGAAUUACUGGCGUAAAGCGCACGCAGGCGGUUUGUUAAGUCAGAUGUGAAUCCCCCGGGCUCAACCUGGGAACUGCAUCUGAUACUGGCAAAGCUUGAGUCUCGUAGAGGGGGGUAGAAUUCCA